rnacentral:rRNA from 1 species
UACGAAGGGGGCUAGCGUUGCUCGGAAUUACUGGGCGUAAAGCGCACGUAGGCGGCUUUCUAAGUCGGGGGUGAAAUCCUGGAGCUCAACUCCAGAACUGCCUUCGAUACUGGAGAGCUUGAGUCCGGGAGAGGUGAGUGGAACUGCGAGUGUAGAGGUGAAAUUCGUAGAUAUUCGCAAGAACACCAGUGGCGAAGGCGGCUCACUGGCCCGGUACUGACGCUGAGGUGCGGAAGCGUGGGGAGCAAACAGG